rnacentral:misc_RNA from 1 species
GAUGAAGAACGCAGCGAAAUGCGAUAAGUAAUGUGAAUUGCAGAAUUCAGUGAAUCAUCGAAUCUUUGAACGCACAUUGCGCCCUUGGUAUUCCGAGGGGCAUGCCUGUUCGAGCGUCAUUAUAACCCUCAAGCUCAGCUUGGUGUUGGGGCCUGCUGCACUGGCAGCCCUUAAAAUCAGUGGCGGCGCCAUCUGGCUCUAAGCGUAGUAAUUCUUCUCGCUAUGGAGUCCUGGUGGAUGCUUGCCAUCAACCCCCAAUUUUUCUAUGGUUGACCUCGGAUCAGGUAGGGAUACCCGCUGAACUUAAGCAUAUCAAUAAGCGGAGG